rnacentral:rRNA from 1 species
UGAGUAAUGUCUGGGAAACUGCCUGAUGGAGGGGGAUAACUACUGGAAACGGUAGCUAAUACCGCAUAACGUCGCAAGACCAAAGAGGGGGACCUUCGGGCCUCUUGCCAUCGGAUGUGCCCAGAUGGGAUUAGCUAGUAGGUGGGGUAAAGGCUCACCUAGGCGACGAUCCCUAGCUGGUCUGAGAGGAUGACCAGCCACACUGGAACUGAGACACGGUCCAGACUCCUACGGGAGGCAGCAGUGGGGAAUAUUGCACAAUGGGCGCAAGCCUGAUGCAGCCAUGCCGCGUGUAUGAAGAAGGCCUUCGGGUUGUAAAGUACUUUCAGCGGGGAGGAAGGGAGUAAAGUUAAUACCUUUGCUCAUUGACGUUACCCGCAGAAGAAGCACCGGCUAACUCCGUGCCAGCAGCCGCGGUAAUACGGAGGGUGCAAGCGUUAAUCGGAAUUACUGGGCGUAAAGCGCACGCAGGCGGUUUGUUAAGUCAGAUGUGAAAUCCCCGGGCUCAACCUGGGAACUGCAUCUGAUACUGGCAAGCUUGAGUCUCGUAGAGGGGGGUAGAAUUCCAGGUGUAGCGGUGAAAUGCGUAGAGAUCUGGAGGAAUACCGGUGG